AACGUAGGUGGCAAGCGUUAUCCGGAUUUACUGGGCGUAAAGCGUGUGCAGACGGGGCUUCAAGUGGUGUAUGAAAUCGCUCGGCUCAACCGGGCGCGGGUAUGCCAGACUGGAGUGCUAGAGGGUGCGAGAGGGACGUGGAAUUCCGGGUGUAGUGGUGAAAUGCGUAGAGAUCCGGAGGAACCCCUGAGGCGAAGGCGGCGUCCUGGCGCACUUCUGACGUUCAGACACGGCAGCAUGGGGAGCGAACGGG
rnacentral:rRNA from 1 species